UGGGGAAUUUUGGACAAUUGGGCGAAAGCCUGAUCCAGCAAUGCCGCGUGUGUGAAGAAGGCCUUCGGGUUGUAAAGCACUUUUGUCCGGAAAGAAAUCCUUGGCUCUAAUACAGUCGGGGGAUGACGGUACCGGAAGAAUAAGCACCGGCUAACUACGUGCCAGCAGCCGCGGUAAUACGUAGGGUGCAAGCGUUAAUCGGAAUUACUGGGCGUAAAGCGUGCGCAGGCGGUUUGCUAAGACCGAUGUGAAAUCCCCGGGCUCAACCUGGGAACUGCAUUGGUGACUGGCAGGCUAGAGUAUGGCAGAGGGGGGUAGAAUUCCACGUGUAGCAGUGAAAUGCGUAGAGAUGUGGAGGAAUACCGAUGGCGAAGGCAGCCCCCUGGGCAAUACUGACGCUCAUGCACGAAAGCGUGGGGAGCAAACAGGAUUAGAUACCCUGGUAGUCCACGCCCUAAACGAUGUCAACUAGUUGUUGGGGAUUCAUUUCCUAGUAACGUAGCUAACGCGUGAAGUUGACCGCCUGGGGAGUACGGUCGCAAGAUUAAAACUCAAAUGAAUUGACGGGGUCAUAGCU
rnacentral:rRNA from 1 species